GGCCUCAUAGCUCAGUGAUUAGAGCACUAGUCUUGUAAACUCGGGGUAGUGAGUUCAACUCUCACUGAGGCCU